CAUGGCUCAGGAUGAACGCUAGCUACAGGCUUAACACAUGCAAGUCGAGGGGCAGCAUGGUCUUAGCUUGCUAAGACUGAUGGCGACCGGCGCACGGGUGAGUAACACGUAUCCAACCUGCCGUCUACUCUUGGACAGCCUUCUGAAAGGAAGAUUAAUACAAGAUGGCAUCAUGAGUCCGCAUGUUCACAUGAUUAAAGGUAUUCCGGUAGACGAUGGGGAUGCGUUCCAUUAGAUAGUAGGCGGGGUAACGGCCCACCUAGUCUUCGAUGGAUAGGGGUUCUGAGAGGAAGGUCCCCCACAUUGGAACUGAGACACGGUCCAAACUCCUACGGGAGGCAGCAGUGAGGAAUAUUGGUCAAUGGGCGAGAGCCUGAACCAGCCAAGUAGCGUGAAGGAUGACUGCCCUAUGGGUUGUAAACUUCUUUUAUAAAGGAAUAAAGUCGGGUAUGGAUACCCGUUUGCAUGUACUUUAUGAAUAAGGAUCGGCUAACUCCGUGCCAGCAGCCGCGGUAAUACGGAGGAUCCGAGCGUUAUCCGGAUUUAUUGGGUUUAAAGGGAGCGUAGAUGGAUGUUUAAGUCAGUUGUGAAAGUUUGCGGCUCAACCGUAAAAUUGCAGUUGAUACUGGAUAUCUUGAGUGCAGUUGAGGCAGGCGGAAUUCGUGGUGUAGCGGUGAAAUGCUUAGAUAUCACGAAGAACUCCGAUUGCGAAGGCAGCCUGCUAAGCUGCAACUGACAUUGAGGCUCGAAAGUGUGGGUAUCAAACAGGAUUAGAUACCCUGGUAGUCCACACGGUAAACGAUGAAUACUCGCUGUUUGCGAUAUACGGCAAGCGGCCAAGCGAAAGCGUUAAGUAUUCCACCUGGGGAGUACGCCGGCAACGGUGCAACUCAAAGGAAUUGACGGA
rnacentral:rRNA from 1 species